AGUCACCAAGUCAUCAUCAGAAGUUGGACCUCCUUUUGCUCUGGGGAGAAUAAAAAGGAACAGAUCUCUCCCUCAGACAUCACAUCCUUCUUCAGCAAUCCUUCGAUUCUCCUGUGGUGCUGCACUACUAAAGAAUCAUUCAAGAUGAAAACCUUCAUUCUGAUCGCUUGCAUCCUGGGGACUGCUCUCGGCCGCCCACAAAGGCUGGUCAUGGAGUUUGACUUCCAGGCUGCCAAUGCUCAGGCUCUCCGAGCUGGACAAGCCAGACCUGAUCUAGAGAUUAUCCUUCCUGUUGGUGGUGGAGUACCUUCGGGUGGUUUCAUCAAACAGGAGAUCCCCCAGCCACUCGGCCAGGAGAGCGUUGAGAUCUACCACCCCUUCUUCAUUCAGGUUGCCCCUCCUGCUCCUGCUUCACCUGCCCAUACUCAUACAUCCGAUGAGGAAGAUGAAUAGAGAUAUUACCAAUACUUGGAGAUCUACAAUACCCUUCGAUGAAACAACGAUGUCCUUCAACUCCACAGCUGCUCUUAGUGUCCUAGAUUGAUUCAGUAAAUGCAUUGCUUAACCCAGCAAUUAACAUAGAGUAACAUGGUGCUGAACCGAUUGCUUGAUGCAUGAAAGCUGUGUGUAAUUGUUUGUACCUGGCAGAAUAAUGUUAAUAAAACCCCCAGAAUGUUUUGCCAACCUUCUCCAUACCAUGCC
rnacentral:lncRNA from 1 species